GUGAGGCAGCUCUCGGCCCAGAAGCACGCGCUGGAGCCUGUGGAGGAGAGGAUCCUGCGGGUGGGUGAGGCUGCGGCAGCCCCCAGCCAGCCCACCCUGCCCCAGGAGGUACUGGGUCUGCUUUGCUCACUGCGGCAGCCCCAACACCUAGAAUUCCAGGGGCACAGGCUCAGCGGUCACAGGACUCGUCCCGAGUUCCACAGCCCCUGGCUGAGCGGCUCCUUUGCACGGGGGUUACACAGCUCUGUGGCUCUCCAGGCACCGCUUUGCAGCCUGCAACUUAAUCCUGUUUCCUCUAGGCCCAAGGGAGGAUGGCGGAAGCCAGGGUUUUCUUCCUUCCAAAGGAUCUGGGAGAGUGGCACCCUUCUCCUCAGCCAUCCUCCAGGGCACAGGGUCCUAGCCCUCCCUCUGUCCUGUACUCCUCUCCUGAAUUUUUUUUUUUUUUUUUCCCGAGACGGAGUUUUGCUCUUAUCGCCCAGGCUGGAGUGCAAUGGUGCCAUCUCAGCUCACUGCCACCUCUGCCUCCCGGGUUCAAGUGAUUCUCCUGCCUCAGCCUCCCGAGUAUCUGGGAUUACAGGUGUGAGCCACCGCACCCAGCCCCAUGAUUCUUGAAGAGCAGAUCCUGGCCUAAAUGGGUGGCAUUGCCCCUGCCCCAGCUGACCAACUAGCAGCAGCUCCCAAAGCCCCUCACCCGCUUGGAGCCAGCGGCCCCUGUGCCAGCUCACCAGGCCUCACCCUCCAUCCUGCUGGGGUCCAACUGGCCCCUGUCAAAGGACGAACGCAGAGGGCUGGCCUUGGCUUUGUCCAUGCUGACGAUGCGGACCAGCUUCUGUGGUCCCCCAGAAGAUGGCUAAAGGAGGGACGGAGAAAGGAUGAGGAGGAGCUGUUGAAGCCGCCAACAGGAAUGGGAAUUCAGGGGAGAUGAUUGGCACUAGGGCAACCUGGGAGUGAUGCAGAGGCGCAGAUGCUCUGAGAGCAGCCCGAGGUGUGUCUGCACUUGUGCAAGAGCCUACAGGCUGGGCAGGGGCUGCAGACCCUGCCCUGGUUUGAAGGGGCGCAGAGGAGAGACAGGCGGGGUCACCCUCCUCCAAUCAGCAGCCUGCACUCUCCACACAGUGCCUCCUGCCUCCCUGCCAGCACCGAGCCCCUCUUCCAGCCCACCCCAGUGGGGUUCAGGCCCCUACCUGGAGCCUCACCUUGCGGGUGACGGUGCACUGCUGAGUCAUGUCCUGGAUGAGGGCUAUGAGCUGCUGCUGAGCCCUGCAAAGACCAGGAGAGGCCCUGACCCAGCUGCCUCCUGCCAGGGGAGCGGGGCAGGGGAGAGCCAAGCAGGGGAGAGUGGGGGAGAUGGCCAGGUGGGAGAGAAGGCCCUCCACCUAGAGCUCCACACACCCCUUUGCUGCAGGCCGGAGCGCUCCACCCUGGCGGCCAUCCCAGUCUCCAGAGCUUUCAAAAGACUCCAGGGCCUCGGCCCACCCCUGGAGAUGCUGAUUUACUUGUCCUGGGGUGCUGUUGAGCAGCCGGUGUACAGGGCCCCACUCCAGGACCUCAGUAUUCAUGGUGGGUCCCUGGCCUGCAGCCUGGAGUCACCGAGAGAGCUGUUAGAAAUGCAGAGUGCCAGGCCUCUCCCUGGACCUGCUGGCUCCGAUCGCCAGGGGACUUGAGUUUGCAAUGAGUGAUGGGGGUGCUGAGCUCAACACCCCUGCUUUCUGGCACUGUGCGUUCUGUGCACUUGAAACUUGGAGCCUCCCAUAGGCUGAUCUAGAGCAAUGGUUUUCUUUUCUUUUUUUUUUUUUUUUUUGAGACAGAGUCUCACUGUGUCGCCCAGGCUGGAGUGCAAUGGCUCAAUCCCGGCUCACUGCAACCUCUGCCUCCCAGGUUCAAGUGAUUCUCCUGCCUCAGCCUCCUGAGUAGCUGGGAUUACAGGCACCUACCACCACGCUCAGCUAAGUUUUUUGUAUUUUUAAUAGAGACAGGGUUUCACCAGGUUACCCCGGCUGGUCUUGAACUCCUGACCUCAGAUGAUCCACCCACCUCGGCCUCCCAAAGUGCUGGGAUUAUAGGUGUGAGCCACCACGCUCGGCCUAGGGCAAUGGUUUUCAACGGAGCAAGGCAGGGGGCAAUGUCACUCCCCAGGGAGGGUGACCAGCUGUCCCUGCUUUCCGAGGACCGAGGGGCUUCCCUGCAAGUGGGGCUUUCAGUGCUAAGACCAAGACAGUCCUAGGAGAACCAGGGAACCCUUGGCAACCUAUAGAGACAUUUCUGGUUGUCACAGCUGGGGCAUGGGAGUGCUCCCGGCAUCCUGGGUAGGGCGGCCAGGGAUGCUGCUCAACAUCCUGCAGUGCCCAGCACAGCCCCACCACAGACAGGGAUCCAGCCCCAAACGUCCAUGGUACCAGAGCUAAGAAACCCAGAUCUAGAAUGUUCUAGAAUGAACAUUUCAUUUGCAAGAUAUAAAGCAUCCAUCACAAAGAAACAUCUUCAGCAGUGAUCUUGGCAGGCUUCCCUCCUUAGCGGGGGUCUCACCACGCCCACCUUCUAUUGCUGGGCAGGAGGAGGAAGCCGAGGCAGGCUGGGUGCCAUUUCCCCGUGGGCCUCUCUGGGGACGCACCGAGCUCGCGGCAGCUGCUCACCUGGAGUAGUUGGGGAUGGUGCCGUGCGCGGCAGUAUCCUUCAUGGUGUAAGAGUUCACGCGGUGGGCAUGCCAGCAGCCGCAGCCCUGGAACAUGGUGUCGGUGACGUGCAGGACCUCGUUGCAAUGCACCUGCAGCUCCCCCUUAGCCCUGCCCUCCGUGGCCAGGUUGACCCGGAUGUAGAAUGAGUCCCCCGAGGUCGCCACUUUGGCCUCCAGAUCCUGGAGUAGCCUCUUAUAACCUGAUAAAAGGGGACAUGAGCCACAGAUGAGCCACAGAUAUGAGCCCUGCGAGGAAGGUUGCAGAAAAUUAAAGUAGGAGAGAAGGAAGGACCCUCGCAGUCUCAGAAGCUGCUCUGGCACUGGACUCAGUGGGUGGGAGGUUUCCAGCUGGCUUGGGGGCCUCCUGGGGACCUGGGGCACAGCCUGGCUGAUCCUCUCCUGGCUCUGGGGGUCCCUGGCUGCUGGGCGUGCGGAAGAACCACCAGGGACUUAAGGGUCACGGAGCCUGGCCAGGCAGCUGUGCACAGGAGAGGAGUGCUGUGUGUACCAUCCGUGUUGACCUUCACAGACAGGCAGCAGAAGCCGUCCACCCUCCUGAGAAGCCCCACGGCCUCCUCCAGGGUCGUGUCCUCCAGGACUGCCUUGAACAAGGGCUCUGUGGCUUCAUAAUCAACCUGAGGGAAAGUCGAGAAGGUCAGUCUCUUUCCCCCGGGACUCUUAAUCUAGCCAGAAUGCAGAGGGCGCUGAGGGCACUGAGGCAAGGUGCGUGCCAGCCCUGCAGUAGGACCACUGCCUGCACGCCUUGGUCAAAACAAAGCCGCACCACCAGAGCCUCUGUGGGGCCUUCAAGCCUCUAGUGAUGCAUGCUACACAUGGUGCUGGCCAGAGAGUCAACUGCCAACCCUUCCCCAGUCGAGAUCGGGGGUUCUUUGUGAUAAGCACUUUCCUGUCUUGAAAAGAAAAGAAAAGAAAGGACCUCAGUUCUAGAACAUUCCAGAGCAUUCUAGAUAGAGGUUUCUUAGCCUUGGGAUCAUUCCGUGCUGCUGCGGGCUGUACCGGGCCCUAUAGGAUGCUGAGUGGCAUCCCUGGCCUUCACCCACCCAAUGCCCUGGCUCUCCACCCACAGCCUUCCCCACUGUGAAGGCCCACCCCCCAGGGCUUCCACCAUCCACUUCAUUUCUUCUCAAUAUUGUUCUAAGCUUAGGAGAGUAGUUAUUUUUACGAUAAAAAAUUAAGAUGUGUUUUAACACCAUUAGAAUCGAAUUGGCCCCCUUAGGAUAUUGGGACUAUCUCCCUGAACAUCAUCAAGGGGCUCUGUUGCUUGAACGACCUCAGAGCUGAUAAUUGGGAACCUUAAGAGCAGGGUUCCCCAACCCCCGGGCCACAGACUGGUACUGGUCCAUGGGCCGUCAGGACCCGGGUCACACAGCAGGAGGGGGUGUGGUGGGUGAGUGAGCAUUAUGGCCUCAGCUCCACCUCCUGUCAGCUCAGCACAGCAGUAGAUUCUCAGAGGAGCCUGAACUCUAUUGUGAACUACGCAUGUGAGGGAUCUAGGUUUCACGCUCCUUAUGAGAAUCUAAUGCCUGAUGAUCUGUUACCGUCUCCCAUCACCCCCAGAUGGGACCGUCUAGUUGCAGGAAAACAAGCUCAGGCUCCCACUGAUUCUGAAUUAUGGUUCAGGGUAUAAUUCUUUCAUUACAUAUUACAGUGUAAUAAUAAUAGAAAUAAAGUGUACAAUCAA
rnacentral:antisense_RNA from 1 species